rnacentral:rRNA from 1 species
UACGUAGGGCGCAAGCGUUGUCCGGAAUUAUUGGGCGUAAAGAGCUCGUAGGCGGCUUGUCGCGUCGGAUGUGAAAGCCCGGGGCUUAACCCCGGGUCUGCAUUCGAUACGGGCAGGCUCGAGUGUGGUAGGGGAGAUCGGAAUUCCUGGUGUAGCGGUGAAAUGCGCAGAUAUCAGGAGGAACACCGGUGGCGAAGGCGGAUCUCUGGGCCAUUACUGACGCUGAGGAGCGAAAGCGUGGGGAGCGAACAGG